rnacentral:rRNA from 1 species
GACGAACGCUGGCGGCGCGCUUAACACAUGCAAGUCGAACGAUGAAGCCGGAGCUUGCUCUGGUGAAUUAGUGGCGAACGGGUGAGUAACACGUGAGUAACCUGCCCUUGACUCUGGGAUAACUGCGGGAAACUGUAGCUAAUACCGGAUACGACCCUCGGGGGCAUCUCCUGGGGGUGGAAAGAAUUUCGGUCAAGGAUGGACUCGCGGCCUAUCAGCUAGUUGGUGAGGUAAAGGCUCACCAAGGCGACGACGGGUAGCCGGCCUGAGAGGGUGACCGGCCACACUGGGACUGAGACACGGCCCAGACUCCUACGGGAGGCAGCAGUGGGGAAUAUUGCACAAUGGGCGCAAGCCUGAUGCAGCAACGCCGCGUGAGGGAUGACGGCCUUCGGGUUGUAAACCUCUUUUAGCAGGGAAGAAGCGAAAGUGACGGUACCUGCAGAAAAAGCACCGGCUAACUACGUGCCAGCCGCCGCGGUAA